GACGAACGCUGGCGGCGUGCUUAACACAUGCAAGUCGAACGGAAAGGCCCUGCUCUUGUGGGGUGCUCGAGUGGCGAACGGGUGAGUAACACGUGAGUAACCUGCCCUUGACUUUGGGAUAACUUCAGGAAACUGGGGCUAAUACCCGAUAGGAGCUCUUGCUGCAUGGUGGGGGUUGGAAAGUUUCGGCGGUUGGGGAUGGAUUCGCGGCUUAUCAGCUUGUUGGUGGGGUAGUGGCUUACCAAGGCUUUGACGGGUAGCCGGCCUGAGAGGGUGACCGGGCACAUUGGGACUGAGGUACGGCCCAGACUCCUACGGGAGGCAGCGGUGGAGAAUAUUGCACAAUGGGCGGAAGCCUGAUGCAGCAACGCCGCGUGCGGGAUGACGGCCUUCGGGUUAUAAACCGCUUUCGACUGUGACGAAGAGUGAGUGACGGUAAUGGGUAAAAAAGCACCGGCUAACUACGUG
rnacentral:rRNA from 1 species